rnacentral:tRNA from 1 species
GGCUUUUUGUUUUGGAAACCCGUGAUUUUGAAAGUCCCCUAAAGGGGUUCGAUCCCCCUAAAAGCUU